AGGAGGUGCAUGAGGAUGCAGCUGCGACCGCGGCCCCAAGAGGGAGCCGCGGCAGUCUGUGGCCGCGGGGACUGAGGGACGGGUAUCAGGCCUAAGGGACUCUUCACUGGCGACUGGGGGCGGCGGUCCCGCCAGAGGCUCGGGCCUACUACGAGGUGAAGGUCCGGGCUGCUGGGCGAGGGCCUCCCCCCCACCCCAUUCCUUCCCCUCAUCCUUCUACGUCGAUGGUGGUGAAGUUGGAGACGCCAGGGAGCCAAGACACCAGAUUUCUCCCUUACAUCCAGCUCCUCUCUGGCCCCAUCUCUUGGACACCUGCGCAGCCACCUCCCUUGCCCGCCAAACCCAUCCGCGGCGGCGGGCGGGGGAGGGGCUUCUUCCCCAGCUUCCUUGCUGGGGCUGCCUGGAACCGAGGUGGGCGACGACGGUGACCAUAGGAGAGUAGGGGGGAGAAGCCAAGAAUUGGGAGAUUUUUCCUGAUUGCACUGUGCUGAGAUUGGCAGAGACCAUGACAAGCCUGUGGUUAAGCAGAAACACCAUGGACGGAAAGCUGUUCAUAUUAUGCCACUUAAGCAGAAAGGGUGAAAGGAAAAUGCUGGAGAACCUGUGCUGACGGACUUCCUUUUGUUCUGUUCUAUCUGAUCUCAUAUCCUGUUUGGAUGGUGGUGCUGUUCCCAUUGAAGGCCUUUCUUCCUCAUCAUUUUGCUGUCCCAUA